GGAAAUGCUUGCAAGGUGCCACCCACUGGAUAGAACCAAGUUCUUCAGAGUGUGAGCUGCUGGGACCUGGCUGAGGGAAGGCUGACCAGCUAGAAGAGCAAGUCAUUUGAGAUGUUUGUUUACUUGCAUGAUUUUAUGUGCCCUACCUGUGUGCAAAGUCUGUGGAGGCCAGAAGAGGGUGCUGGAUCCUCUGGAACUGAAGUUAUAGAUGUUUGUGGGCUAUGGUGUGGAUUCUGGGAAUCGAACCCUGGUCCUCUGCAAGAGCAGCAAGUGCUCUUAACUAAUCAUUUCUCCAGCCCCUUGACUCUCAGGAGAGGUGAUUGACUUGAGCACUAAGAUUAGAGAUGGGACAUCUUCUCUGCAGUCAUUGGACAGCCUCAGAAGCUUGAUGUAGCCUCUGGUUUUGAUGAAGAGACCCUGCUUCAAUGCAUAAGGUGGAAAAGGGAUGGAAGACGAUUCCCAUCGUCAACCUCAGGCUUCCACACAUAUACUCAGAAAAGCCCACGCAGUUGUGCAUCAUAAAUAAACAAGAAAAGAAGGAAGUGAUAUUAUUUAAGAAAUUAUUGGACAAAAUGUGACCAACUGCCUCAUGCUCCUGUUGUCUGCCACUCCUUCCUGAUCAUGAUGGACCAUGCCUUCAGACUCAGAGCCAAAAGAAACCCUUCCUCCCUUAAGUGUCUUUGCCAGGUAUUUUGUGACAUCAGUGAGAACAGUAACUGAUAUAUUAUGUGAAAUUAAAAAGUUAAAAAUAUAUACUGGAUGACUGCUAUAGUUUGGAUCCUGAACGUCUCCUAAAGGCCUAUCUGUUAAAGCUUUGGUCACCAGCCUGUGCUCUUACUGGGAAGGGGUGGAAGCUUCAAGAGAUGGGGGCCUAGUGGGAGGAAGUGAGAUCAAAGGAAGUCUGCGUUGAAGGGCAUAUUAGGACUGCACCCACCCACCCACUGCCUUGAAGACCACAAGCUUCUUCUACAUUGUGCUCCUGCUGGGAUGUUCUGUGUGAGCCUGUAGUGACAGCCUCAAGGCAAGGGGGGCAUGUGACCAUGGAGUGACUGAUGCCUCUGAUGCCAUGAGCCAACACUAACCUUUUCUCUUAUUAAGUUGGUUAUCACCAAUGUUUUGCCAUGGUAAUGGAAAACUGGCUAAGGCAAGGGCUCUAAAUAUGGAAAUGAUCCCACGCAUAGAAAAACUGCUUUGGAAUGAAAUUUCUAAGGAUUGGUGAUGGAGGCACUUGGACUCACAGAAGGUUUGAUUUGCUUUUGUUUCGCUGCAUACUAUAGUUGUUGGUAAGUUGCCAAUUCUUUUGAAUAUAUCUUUUGAAAAAUCUGUGAUUUUUAUGGCAUAAAACAGGUACAUUAAGAGAGACCAGGAAGAAAUUUGAAGUUUUGCAGAUGUUGUUAAAGAAUGAGCUAUUUUUUUUUUCCUUAGAAAAAAUAGCUUAUGUUCAUACCUCGAUAAUGAACAGCCUCCAAGAAUCUUUUCGGCAUUCUUAUGGGCUCAUUUGCUUAAUGAGAACACCAGUAAUUUGAUUUUUUAUAUUGCUGUGUAAAUGUUUUGUACAUAACGGCUUUUGUUUUUUCACCUGCUCUAUCUCUGUUUUUCAGUCACUGACAUUUAUUGAAUCUGUGUUGUUUUCUCGAAGCAAAGGAACGACUAGGAGGGAAGACAAGGAGUGUUUUGUUUAGGGAGAGACAGAAAGGAGAAGAAGGAAGAUGCAGACAAAGGGAGAGGAAGAGGAGAGAGAAGGGGAAAAGACAAACCCUGGCAGAGAGCCCAGCUCUCGGAAAACUGGCCUCACCCCAGGACUGGUGAGCAGCACGCUCCACUGAUGAAGGUGCAGGAGAGCUGAAGAAUUAACUCUGCUCCCCCAGCAGGACUGCGGCACUCAUCUUAAUCCCAAUCCACUGGAUCCUGGGGGCUGUGUGGAACUGUGGUCCAAAGUGUCUGUCUGUCUGUCCCCUCCCCGCCCCACCUCUCCCUGCCCUCUCUGUCUAUCUCUGUUUCUAUUUCUUCAAGGUUUAUUUAUGUGUAUGAGUGUUUUCCUGCACAUAUGUAUAUGCACCAUACGUGUGAUGUGUCCAGUGAGGCUAGAAGAAGGCACUGGAUGAGGUGCCCUGUGCUGGGAACAGAACCCAUGUCCUCUGCAGGGGCAGUAAGUGCACUUAACUGCUGCUGAACCAUGUAGCCAGCCCUAAAGUUUCUUCUUAAUGAUAGCGUUCUUCUGGGUUAGAAGUAUGGCCACUUCUUAAUGGUGACUUUCUUCUAAGUUAGAGCCAAGGCCACGACCGUUAGUGACUCACAAAGAUGGAAGGAGAGGAAGAAAAGGCAAGUUCAACCUCAUUUGAGAUCUAAAUUCAGAGCUCCUUGGCACUCAGGGUGGAGAGAACUCUGAUUGAGACAGGAAGCCUUUUAGUAGCAAUCUGGGCUCACAGCAACAGGCCCCCAGUCUUCUCCUUGGCGUAGUAGGCUGCACCGUUCCAUUAGAAAGCAGCUCCAGAUACCUCUGUACUAUCUGGAUUCUGUUACUGUCUACACUGCACACUGCUCUAGUCGCUCGGCUUAGCUAUCUUGGUUCUCUACCUCCUCAAUGAUUCUCAGGGUGGGUUGGUCAGAGUUCUCUAGAGGGUCAGAACCCACAGGAUGGAUACAUUAUGAAUAGAAUUUAUUAAGUCAGCUUAUGUUGAAACAGUAACAACAGCUAUCUCACACCUGAGAGGCUGAGAGCCAAGGGUUGCUCAGUGUUUGAAGUGGGUCCCUCAGCAGUCAGUAGCCCCAUGUUGCCUGUCUCAUCAUGGGAAGUCUGACAACCUGGAAGUUGCUCAGUCCAUAAGGUUGAGGGCUUCAGUAGUCCCAACCAGGCACCGAGGACCUAAGAGUUUCCUGGAGAUCCACUGAUCCUUAGUCAGUGAUUAAAGCCUGGAAACGCCGGUUCUGAUACCAGCAAAGGAAUCAUCAUCAUCAUCAUCAUCAUCAUCAUCAUCAUUAGCUGCAGCAGCAGCAGCAGCAGCAGCAACAGCAGGGUAAACUAACUCAGAGGCAAGAAGAGGCCAAGGAAUCAAAAUCUGCCACAUUUCUUCUGGGCUGCUGCCAGAGGGUGCCACCCACAUUUGGGAAUCGGUUUCCCCACGUCUGUGAAGGCAACCAGGGACAAUUCUGUAGGUGAGGCUCCCUACUCAGGUGACUAAUUUGAGUCAUUAAAGCCAGCCAUCACACCAGGCCACUGAAAACCCAAGAACAUUCUAGUUUUGCUGACACUCCAGUUGGAUCUCGGCCUUCUGAUUUUCCGAUCCUCGUCACUCCACACGGGAAGAGGAAAGCAUUUGGGGAACAAAUGUAAAGGGUGACUCCAGGGAGGAUUAGGCCCUGAGGUUUUGUAGUCAUCUCCUGGUACCUCUUUAAAGAGCUGGGGGCCUCCGCUAUGCUAAUUAGCCUCAUUUCACACCGUUCAAAGAAUAGGUAAUGAUCGAGAACACGUUCCUGCCUUGAAGUACAGGUGAGACCUUCUGAGUAGAAAAAGGUCCCCAUGAACUCUGCCUCAGUGUUCUUUUAACAGCUGCAUGUCUCUUGGUUCAAUUUAACUUGCUAAAUCAGUCUGAGGCUGUGAAGAGAAUGGAGCAGCAGUUUGGGACCAUGGAUUUGUGAAGCGGGACCCAGGAGAAACUGACUUGAGCUGGUGAUAGCGGCAGUGACAGGAUUGCUCCAGGAAGACAAGGGCACUGUCUCUGCCUUUGCAGUGUGUCUAGCACUUUAGACCACCAUGCGUCACCUGUGAUUGACUCCCAGCUCCUCAGCAUCCCAGGUGGGGAGAGAAAAUAAUUAGGGAAACCAUCUUAAAUGAUGACUCCAGAUGUUUGGCCCACAAGGUAUCUCUUUGGAUAUCCCAGUUCAGUUACUACACUGACUAAUUAUAGUCACACUCAGGGCUGCUUCUGUUUGAAAUUCUAGUUCCAUCUGUAUCUCUGGGACUAUUUAGAAGAGUAUUUAAGUAGGGUUUCCUUUUAUUUAAUGGAUUUCAGAAUCAGACAAAUCCUCUUAUGAAAACAUAUUAAUUAAUCAAGAGGUCACUUCUCCAGAGUAAAAUAAAUUAUUAAAUCAUACAAGGUGAGUAUUUAAGUUUGUGCUCCCAAUCCCUUCCCAUGCUACUAAUGUGCAUAUUAAACUUUUAAAGAUGAAUGUCUAAGUUAUAUUUUAUGAUAGAGCAGAGAGGAGGCUGCCCUGACUAUUCCGUGGCCUCCUACAUGAACUCAUACAGCGGUGGAGUAGCAAAGGAGGACACUCAGGUGCUGGAGUUGAACAAAUAAAUGUAUUUGUCUAAAAUCCAAGGCAGUGAGGAGAAAGGAAAGAGGAGGAUCCCAGCAUUUCCAGAGUUACAAGAACGUCUUCAACUCAUUGAUCGGAUGAAAUACUGCCACAAGAACUAGUAGUUGACUCUGGGUGGUUUCCAGGUUCCUGAAAGGAAGUCUCUCAAGAGGAAAGGGCACUGCUGUUUCUACAUCACAGGGGCAUGCCAAGAGUGUCUGUGGUGACUUCAGUUACUUGUGUGUGUUUGUUCAUGUGAGUGUAAGUGUCCACGCAAGUGUCUGUGCAGGUGUAGGUGUGUGUGCUUGGAGGCGAGAGGACAACUUGGCUGUCAUUCCUCAGGUGCUACCCACCUUGAUGGUUGAGACAGGGUCUCUCACUUGUCUGGAGUUGGUCACGGAGCCUACCAUGAUUGGCUCGUAAGCCCUAGGGAUCUGCCUGACUCCUCUACCUCCCCAGUGCUGGGACUGCAAGCGCACAACACUGUAUCUGGGGUUUUCUUUAUUUUGGAGAGGUAUACCAUAGCUCCCAUAAUUCAAUUCUGGCUGAAAUAUAUACAUACAUAUGUAUGUACAUAUAUAUGCAUAUAUGAGAUAUAUAGGGAGAAAUACGUAUUUCAACAAUUAUAUACAUACAUACAUACAUAUAUAUAUACACAUACACAUACACAUCUCAUGUUUAAUGGUUAUUCUUGGUUUUCAACUUGACUACAUCUGGAAUUAACAAAAAUCUCCAUGGCUGGAUACAACUAUGUGGGGGGAUUUUUCUUAAUUAAAUCAUUUAAAGUGUAAAGGCCCACCCUAAAUCUGGGUCUUUUGAGGUGGAAGAUCCACCUUAAGUUUGGAACACACCUUCUGUUAACAGCCUAUCUAAAGGUCAUGGAAGAAGGAAGUUUUAGCUCUUGCUGGCAAGUUCAUUCCUUUACUGGCAUUAGAGAGUACUUCUUCACAAUUCUGGUGUAUACUGAGGACCAGCUGAGACAUCCAGCCUUGUGGACUGAACGACUACUGGAUUCUUGGACUUUGGUAAACUAGCUGGACCACAGCCUGUUUGCACAUAAAGGAUAUAUGUAGUAUGUAUGUAUAUGUGUAUAUUAAUUCUAUCAGUUCUGGCCACGAUGCACCUUGCACUACCUCUGCACUCUGUUGACAAGAAGCUCAUCACCAGAAGUGGCCCCCAACUUGGAACUCCAGAAUGGGGAGCCAGAAUAAACUCCCGUUCUGUGUGUAUCACACCAUUACUGACAACAGAGAAGGACUGACCCCCAUAAGGUAAAAGAAGAGAAGGACUGAGGGAAGGAAGAGGAAGAAGUGUAACCCAGGGUGGGUAGGGCGUGGUUUCACAUGAUCCCAUCCAUCCUUGAUAAAAUGCUAAGGUAAAACUUGGGAAAGAUUAAAAUUUGAAGGAAGCCAAGGGAGCAGAGGACACGGUUUCUCAGAACUUUAAAAUAAUUCCAGUGGAAAAGCGUAGGCAAAUCUUAGGGGUACUGGGUAAGCAGAUCUCUGCUGGGAAAGGGGCUCAGAUCUGGGGUGCAUCUCUGGGCAAGACUCCAUAUGGAACCCUCAGAUUCACACCUCUGACUCAGCCCCUGAUUUCAGGACCUCAGAGGCCUCCUGCAAAGGACAGCUUGGGAAGCUGGGGAGGCAUUAAAUAGAAAACAGAGGGAUUGUGGAUGUGGUUCAGUCAGUAAAGGGCUUGCUUAAUGGACAAGCUUAAUGACCCGAGUUAGGAUGCCCACAUACAAAAGUAGGCACAGUGGCGUAACUAAAAUCUCAGCCCAGUGGGCAUCGAUCUCUGGAGCUCACUGGCAAGCCAGUGUUGCUGAAUUGAUGAGCUCCAGGUUCAAGGAGAGAUACUGUCUCAAAAAACUAAGGUAGACAACAACUGAAGAAGAUGUACCUAGAGUCUACAGGUACACAUGUGCACACAGAAGCACACACACACACACACACACACACACACACACACACACACACACACACAUACACACACACACAAAUGAAAUAGACAACAAAGAAAUAGCCAUGUUGUGUAAGGAACAUGUGUGUGUGUGUGCACGCGCCUGUGUAAGGAAGUGAGUUUUGUGGUGGUCAUAAGUUGCUGUGUGUAAUUUUCUUUGAAUUUGUGGAAAUGAGAACCUAACAUAUAGGAGCAUUUUAUUUAUGAGAUUUGUAAUUUUAAUUGCCGUGUUCAGGAGGAUUAACAAAUGUAUUUUGUAUUUGACAUUUAGAUGCAUACUUGCUGAAUUUGUAAGUUUAAUUCUUAGGCAGUUGGAGUGCUUUAAGAGAAUGCUAACUUGGGGGAGUUUUGAGGUAUUUGGCUUAUAUGAUCUAUGCUAAGUCCUGAGAAGAAUUUUGUCCCUAACACUUAUAAAUCCUCCUGCUAGGGAUUUGAUGGUUUUAAGAAAAACCAGAUGUAUUAAAUGUGUGAUUAUCGCUUGGAAUGUUUAGGAAGAACUUAAUUAGUCAAGCUUAUAAGUGGUGCUUAGAUUUUAAAGAUUGCAUUUUGAUUUGCUAUA